rnacentral:rRNA from 1 species
CCCUUAGAUGUUCUGGGCCGCACGCGCGCUACAAUGAUGAAUUCAACGAGUUUAUAACCUUGGUUGAAAAGCCUGGGUAAUCUUUUGAACUUUCGUCGUGAUGGGGCUAGACCCUUGCAAUUAUUGGUCUCCAACGAGGAAUUCCUAGUAAACGCAAGUCAUCAGCUUGCAUUGAUUACGUCCCUGCCCUUUGUACACACCGCCCGUCGCACCUACCGAUUGAGUGUGUUGGUGAGGAGUUUGGAUUGGCCUCGGAAGGUGGUUCGCCACCGUCCGUAGCUGAGAAGUUCUCCAAACCGCCCCACUUAGAGGAAGGAGAAGUCGUAACA